rfam:Haemonchus placei strain MHpl1 genome assembly, scaffold: HPLM_contig0001769
GGUGAAGUGAAACACUUUGCAGGGCCUUUCAUAAGACCCAAUGCUAAAUUUUUGCAGACCCUUGCAGGAGCAAGGGUG